rnacentral:rRNA from 1 species
CAGCCGCCACGGGAAUACGAAGGGGGCUAGCGUUGCUCGGAAUGACUGGGCGUAAAGGGCGCGUAGGCGGAUCACGCAGUCAGAUGUGAAAUUCCUGGGCUUAACCUGGGGGCUGCAUUUGAGACGCGUGGUCUAGAGUGUGAAAGAGGGUCGUGGAAUUCCCAGUGUAGAGGUGAAAUUCGUAGAUAUUGGGAAGAACACCGGUGGCGAAGGCGGCGACCUGGUUCAUGACUGACGCUGAGGCGCGAAAGCGUGGGGAGCAAACAGGAUUAGAUACCCCUGUAGUCCCUGUCUCUUAUAC